AGGUUAUUUCUUUUCUGUAUCCCCAUUACCUAACACAGUGUCUAACAUAAAAAUAGUGUUUUAAUAAGUAUCAGUUUCAUCCAGUGUUUUUACCUCCUAAAUAUCUCUCAGAUCUAUCCAUUCCUCUCCAACUCCACAACCAUCACUACUCAUUAAUUUUGGUCUUCAUCCAACCACUUGCCACAUCUCUCUCCUUAACAUCUCUCUUACUAGCAUCUUUCUUUUCAUUCCUCCAUUCAGUAAUUAUUUCGAAAAAUAUUUAUGGGGCACCUUCUAUGUGCCAUACAUUGUUUUCAGGGCUGAGGAUAGGGUUGUAAAACCCAGCCAAAAUCCAAGCUUUCAUGAAGCUUAUAUUCUAGGAUUCCACAGAGGAAGGGUAUAAGACAAGGGUAACAGACAGUUAAGAAGCAAGAUGAAAAUUAAAUAUAUACCAUAUAUAUUAGUGGUAAGUGCUGAAGAAAAAGAAAAAAAAGCAAGAAAAGAGGACAUCAACUAUUGGGGGGGGUGGUAGCUGAAAUUUUAGAUAGGGUAGCCAGGGAAGGGGGUCUCUAAAAAGGUGUUUUUUAAAGAAAGACCAGUAGUAAGGAAGCCAGUCAUGUGGAUAACUAGGCAAUGAGUAUUUGAGGCUUUUUUUGACUCAAUAAAUAUGUUAUCUACUUUCACCUACAAACUCCCCAAUUUGCUUAGAUUAGCUCUAUGUUGUAAGUAAGUAUGUAGCUCUUGCUGUAAGUCUGCAUACUACAAAAUGAAAACCUGAAGAAAUAAUUUAAAAAAAAAAAGGCAUCUAGAAAUACAUAGCCA